rnacentral:misc_RNA from 1 species
UCCGGUUUGUCACCGGCAGUCUCAUUAGAGUGCCCAACUCAAUGUAGCAACUAAUGACAAGGGUUGCGCUCGUUGCGGGACUUAACCCAACAUCUCACGACACGAGCUGACGACAGCCAUGCAGCACCUGUGUUCCCGUUCCCUUUCGGGCACACCCGGCUUUCACCGGGCUCCAGGACAUGUCAAGGGUAGGUAAGGUUUUUCGCGUUGCAUCGAAUUAAUCCACAUAAUCCACCGCUUGUGCGGGUCCCCGUCAAUUCCUUUGAGUUUUAACCUUGCGGCCGUACUCCCCAGGCGGUCGACUUCACGCGUUAGCUGCGGUACUAAGGAAGUCUCCUUCCCCAACACCUAGUUCGCAUCGUUUAGGGCGUGGACUAC